rnacentral:lncRNA from 1 species
UUGCAACUAUAUUAUUACUAGAAUAACUUCAUGAAGCAAUCGAAAUGACUACAUGAGUUAACCUUAGCUAGUUAAGACAUUACUCUAUUGGAUAUAAGCAUAACUGAACGCUUAAAUAAUACUCGCACAAGUCUAGAAAAAUACUCACAGUCCAAACACAGUCCUGUAUGAAUUAAAUGAUCUAAGUAGUUAGGAAAUUUUUCUAAUUAUGUAGUCCUUAAUACAAUUACAAAUUAAACAAACUAAAUGCGUAUACUACUCAUCACAUGGUCGAAUACAGCUAUAUGCAUCCAAACGAGCAUAGAUCUGGAAAUAUGAUUUCAUUUCGUUGUUUCGACAGGAUAAGCUACAUUGAUAAUCCAGAAUGUGUACCUGGUAAUUUACUAAGCAAAUGAAAGGAGGGAGGAUCAGUAAUGAAGAGCAGUAACAAACACGGCACAGCAACAUGUUCAAGCAACACCAGUGAACUUUCAAUAGAAAACCAAUCACUCAAACUGAUGCAAUAUUCAGCAAGUAAAAAACCCAGGAAAAUACUAAACAGUAGUACUUGAAAACCAACUGAAGAUCCUAGCAACACCAAUGGAAUACCAGUUGUACCAGAAAACAACCUCAGUCAAAAUAGAAGAGAAACAAAUUAAAAGUAACAGUAGUUGCCUGCCUUUGAACACUUACGGAAACAAAACUUGCAAUUUCAAAUGAACUAGUAGGAAACACUAACACUGAUUUUUAGCAAAAUAAAAUAUGCUCUCCUAAUAUUGAAUUUCUGAUCUUAAAAUUCAGUUCUAAGCUCUCAAUUCCCAAUCUUUAAGAUUCAGUUACACUCUUAGUUCUAAGUUUCUGACCUCUAAAACUCUCCUCCUUUUCUGUUUUCGACCCCCUGUAUUUAUAGCCUAUUCCAGACCUUAAAAGGCACUAAGCCAGCUGCCUCAUUCAUUACUCCCUCAUGUACUUUUGCUUUUCAGUUCUUAGGAGCAUUAUCACUAAUUAAAGAAGCGAAUAAAACCAUGUUAUUCCCUGCAUUCCCCACUCAGAAUACUCAAACACUUAGCUUUUUGGUACCACCACUGGCCUUUCUUUCUUUAUUAAGUUACAGACGUAUGGGCAGCCUGUUAUUCUAUUCAAAAUCCCUUAAACCUGUGAAAGGGUGCCCAUGUGACUUCUGCUUUCUAACCUUAAGGGUGUACGUAUGAGCAGCCUGUUAUUCUAUUCAAAAUCUCUUAAACCUGUGAAAGGGUGCCCAUGUGACUUCUGCUUUCUAACCUUAAGGGUGUAUUAAUCAAUGUAUUAACUUAUUGGUCCACUAGUAUCACCAGACAGACCACUCACUAGACCACUUUCAAUUUCUCAGAUUUCAAAUUACCCUUGAAAAUCUAACUAGAGAUACAGCUAUAACCAACUUAAUCAAACUCAAUCUAAGAUGAAUGGACAGAAACCAGUGAGGAAAAACAUGCAUUUAAACUGAACUGGCAACCCACGGAACUUAGAGAUUGACAACAUCAGUUCAAUGUUAUUACUGACUAAGUAAAUGAACCGAUUUCUAAACUUAUGCACUCAGGCACACUUAUCAAUUUUAACAAUGUGAUGCAUUAAUUUCAUACGAACAGACUAACUUGGUUUGACCAUAGAAUCAAACAGAAACGAAGCAGGAGAAGAAGAAACAUGAAAAUUAAACAAAGAAAAGAGAGCUGAAAAAUACCGGAUAUUCAAAACUGACCAACACUGAAACUUCCUCGUCCCUUCGUUUUUUGCAGAAGCGGACCUUAAUCGUGUGCUUCCAAUAUGGAAACAUAUUACUAAGGUCGAAUUUAGUCCCAAAAGAUCCUCACAGUGCGUGUUUGGUCUUCCAGUCAAACUUAGGGCUCCGUUCAAUCAAUAUAAGAUUCGAAAACUUCCAGCUUGAUUCAAACAAAAGAUGGCGUUAAAUUAGGGAUGAGGGAGGUCAGGUGGAGCUGGGGUGUGAAUUUGGAACUGGUUGGGUAGGUUUAAGGUUUUGUUCGAAUCUUCGAUUGAAGAUUCGAAACAAACCGGGAUGGUUCGAUGUGAAAGGGUUAAGGAUUUGGAGAGGGGGGAUCAGGGUGGUUCAGGGGUGUAAGUUUGGCGGACAUCGGAGCCGGCGCCGCCGGUUUUUCAGGCGAAGGAAAUGGGGGCGGCGUUUAGUGUUCAGGGGUCGUUUGGUGUCUCUGAAGAGACGAAGGGGGAGUGUUUGGAAAUGAGACGGGUAAAGGGGAUUUGGAGGGGGGUUUAUUUGGAUAUAUAAUUGCUUAAUUAAUCUAGGCCGUUGGAUAAUGAGAUCCAACAGUUCAGAAUAAAAAGAAAUGAUGGGGCGGUCCAGUUUGGUAACGGGUGAGGGUCGGGAUUUGGAUUUGGGCCGCAUAAAUGCACACCUGGGUUUAGGAAGGUAAAAUUAAUUAAGAUGUGUCCUAUAGACACUAACGUAUUUGUUGUUUUGGAAAAGGCCUUGAAUUUCAUUAAGCGGCCAAUUUCGAAGUCUAUUCACUUAUUAUGUCUAUUUAGUCAAGGAGCCGCAAUUUGUAAUUUAUUUGGCAGUGCAUGCGUCAUUUUAUUUUAAAGGAUAACCUGAAGCGACUAAUUUUCUAUUUUCGUUGCAUUUCUAAAAAUAAGAGAAAGAGACCUAGGUAAUUAAUAUUGGGUUAAGAACUAUUAUAAUUGGGCCUUGAGCAUAACCCAUUUAAAAUCAGAACCCAAAUCGCUUUAGUAUAGACUCUCAGUCCCUUUUCGCAAAAAAUGAAACACAACUCUGAUUUAAACAAGACUAGACAUUUGCUGAAUUUUAAUUUUAAUUUUAAUUUUUUAUAAUGAGUACCUUAGACAAGAUUAAAUGCAAAGAUUAAAUUGAGUAAAAUGCCCAUGAGAUAAACUAAAGUAUAUGAACUACCCUUUUUAUCACACAAUUUAACUAUCUGUAUCCUUCAUAUUCCCUAAUACACUUUCCUAGUAUUUCCAACAAACUAAAUUAUUACUGAAAUAGCUUCGCAAUAUAACUUAAUUGCAACUAUAUUAUUACUAGAAUAACUUCAUGAAGCAAUCGAAAUGACUACAGGAGUUAGCCUUAGCUAGUUAAGACAUUACUCUAUUGGACAUAAGCAUAACUGAACGCUUAACUAAUACUCAUACAAGUCUAGAAAAAUACUCAUAGUCAAAACACAGUCCCGUAUGAAUUAACUGAUCUAAGCAGUUCAGAAAUUAAUCUAAUUAUGUAGUCCAUAAUAAAAUUACAUAUUAAACAAACUAAAUGCGUAUACUACUCAUCACAUGGUCGAAUACAGCUAUAUGCAUCCAAACGAGCAUAGAUCUGGAAAUAUGAUUUCAUUUCGUUGUUUCGACAGGAUAAGCUACAUUGAUAAUCCAGAAUGUGUACCUGGUAAUUUACUAAGCAAAUGAAAGGAGGGAGGAUCAGUAAUGAAGAGCAGUAACAAACACGGCACAGCAACAUGUUCAAGCAACACCAGUGAACAACACUCUGGGAAACAAAACUUGGAAUUUCAAAUAAACCAGUAGGAAACACUAACACUGAUUUUUAGCAAAAUAGACUAUACUCUCAUAAUAUUGAACUUCUGAUCUUAAAAUUCAGUUCUAAGCUCUUAAUUUCUAAUCUUUUAAAUUCAGUCCCACUCUUAGUUCUAAGUUUCUGACCUCUAAAACUCUUCUCCUUUUCUAUUUUCGACCCCCUGUAUUUAUAGCCCAUUCCAUCCCUUAAAAGGCACUAAGCCAGCUGCCUCAUUCAUUACUCCCUCAUGUAAUUUUGCUUUUCAGAUCUUAGGAGCAUUAUCACUAAUUAAAGAAGUGAAUAAACCCAUGUUAUUCCCUGCAUUCCCCACUCAUAAUAAUCAAACACUUAGCUUUUUGGUACCACCACUGGCCUUUCUUUCUUUAUUAAGUUACUAAGGUAUGGGCAGCCUAUUAUUCUAUUCAAAAUCCCUUAAACCUGUGAAAGGGUGCCCCUGUGACUUCUACUUUCUGACCCUAAGGGUGUAUUAAUCAAUGUAUUAACUUAUUGGUCCACUAGUAUCACCUGACAGACCACUCACUAGACCACUUUCAAUUUCUCAGAUUUCAAAUUACCCUAGAACAUCUCACUAGAGAUGCAGCUAUAACCAACUUAAUCAAACUCAAAUCAGAUACUGAGAUGAAUGGACUGAAAUCAGUGAGGUAUAACAUGCAUUUAAACUGAACUGGAAACCCACAGAACUUAAAGAUUGACAACUUCAGUUCAAUGUUAUUAUUGACGAAGUAAAUGAACUGAUUUCUAAACUUAAGCAUUCAGGCAGACUUAUCAAUUUUAACAUUUUGAUGCAUUAAUUUCAUACGAAUAUACUAACUUAGUUUGAUCACAGAAUCAAAUAGAAACGAAGCAGGUGAAGAAGAAACAUGAAAAUUAAACAAAGAAAAGAGAGUUGAAAAUACCGGAUAUUCAAAACUGACCAACAUUGAAAUUCCUCGUCCCUUCGUUGUGGGCAGAAGCAGACCUUAAUCGUGUGCUUCCAUUGUUGAAACAUAUGACUAAUGUGGAAUUCAGUCCCAAAAGAUCCUCACGGUGCGUGUUUGGUCUUCGAGUCAAAAUUAGGGCUCCAUUUAAUCAAUCUAAGAUUCAAAAAGUUCCAGCUUGAUUCAAACAAAAGAUGGCGUUAAAUUAGGGAUAAGGGAGGUCAGGUGGAGCUGGGGUGUGAAUUUGGAACUGGUUAGGUAGGUAUAAGGUUUCGUUCGAAUCGUUGACUGAAGAUUCGAAACAAACCGGGAUGAUUCGAGGUGAAAGGGGUAAGGAUUUGGAGAGUGGGGAUCAGGGCGAUUAAAGGGUGUAAGUUUGGCAGACAUCAGAGCCGGCACCGCCGGGUUUUCAGGCGAAGGAAAUGGGAGCGGCGUUUAGGGUUCAGGGGUCGUUUGGUUUGUCUCUGAAGAGACGAAGGGGGAGUGUUUAGAAAUGAGACGGGUAAAGGGGAUUUGGGGGCGGGGUUAUUUGGAUAUAAAAU